AAACGGAAGUUUCGUCACUUGGACAGGAUGUUUGGGUUUCAAAGUUCAUCCUGUGUCUGCCUCUAAAAAAACAACACAAGUGCAUGUCAAUGUCAAGCACUAACAGAUGAGAGGACAGCUUAAGUACUUUUCCCGGACAUUACCCCUUCACUACAGUCCGCAUUUGUGUCCAGAACAAGUGCAUGACAAUGUCAAGCAAUACUAUGGUUUUCGCCUGGAGUCUACCGAUGAUCUGCAGACCAAUGCUGCCUGCUCUCUACCUUGCAGGCCAAUGCCCAAGAGUGCUAUGGAGGCCCUUAAUCUUGUUCACCCUGAAGUAACCAAACGGUAUGAUGAUGACAAUGAACCAAUUGAUUCAGGACUGCUUCUGUUGAGAAUAUAUCUAUUUGUAUAAUGACACAUAAGUAGAAUACAUUCAUUUCCAACCAAUAUACAUGAAUAAAUACUACUAUUGCAUCAAAUGUGAAACUGUUAGGACACACAUUCCUCUUUGUUCCAGAUUUACAUUUUAGUCAUUUAGCAGAUGCUCUUAUCCAGAACAACUUCAUCUUGAGAUAGCUAAGUGGGACAGCCACAUAUCACAGUCAUAGUAAGUAUAAUUUUCCUCAAUAAAGUAGCUAUCAGCAAAGUCAGAAUUAGCAAGAGGGAAAAGUCAAGUGCGAGUGUUAGUUAAUGAAAGGCUAUAUAUUCCUAUGUCAUUUGUUUCUCGGUUCUUUGGCUCUGCUCUACCGGUUCCAGAGAAACUUCAGGGAUGCAGAAUAUUGGACCUGGGCAGCGGUUCCGGCAGAGACUGCUAUGCCCUCAGUAAACUGGUUGGCGAGACUGGCCAUGUCACAGGCAUUGAUAUGACUGAGUAACUGAUUCUAGUGUCCUGUAAAUACAUCCAUUACCACCAGGAGAAGUUUGGCUUUAAGAAACCCAACACCACCUUCCACCAGGGGUCUAUGGAGAAGCUAACUGCAGCUGAUGUUGAGAAUGACUAUGGAUAUCAUAGUGUCAAACUGUGUCAUCUGUUUAUGCCCUGACAAGAAAACAGUUGUACGGGAAGCCUACAAGGUCCUCAAGGUGAGGGAAUGGGCGGUUCCCUCUGUUGGUGAGACCUCAUCUUAUUGGUCCAGGAGGUGGGCUUCAGCACUCCUCACCUCGUCUCAGCCAGUCACAUCGAGGUCCACAACUGCCAGCUCAAAAAGAAAGCAGGCUACAAGUGAAGACAGACACAUCGGGGAGGCAACUGCGUGCAUC